rnacentral:lncRNA from 1 species
GCGGGUUCCCCCUCCCCCCCCCCCCCCCCCCCCCUUCCCCCGCCCCCCCCCCCGCCCCCCCGGUCCGUCUUUUCCCGCCGCCCCCCCCCCCCCCCCGCCUCCCCGCCCGGGACACAGCCCUUCCCCACCGGCCCGAGUAGAACUUAAGAUUUUGAGCUGGCUCUUUGCUUCUUCCUUUUUUCCCCCACCUCCCCCAACCAGAUUCCUCCUCAGCUGCUGCUGCUGCAUCUGCUGCUGCUGCGGCCCGGCCCGGCCCCGGCUGGGGGAGGUGGGCUGAGAGGAACCCGAGCCAGACCUUUGGUCAGAAAGCAAAAACCACCCGAGAACUCCAGAUGGGGACGGAGCUAAUUGGAGUGGGGUCCAGUGCAUCCCUACAGGGUCCUACCUCAUAGCCUUUGGCCCAGCUUCGGACGGACACCCAGAAAAAUUCAAGCCAGCGUUAGUGCUAACGUGAGCAGGAGCGGGGCUACACUGCCUCCUAGGGCCCUCCUAGGUGUCACAAAGCGAGACAUUACUAGUCCAUCCUCGGGAUGGGAAAACUGAGGCACUGGAAGACAUCACUUUAGCAGGCAUUUACGAAGCUCUGGAGUCGGACUUAACUCUGGAGACUUAACGUUCUCAACAACGGUACUCAGUCGUUUGCAACCUCCUAAGAUCCUUCCGGGAACUUGGAGCCGUGGAAAGCGGUUUGUACAAGCAACCUUGUGAUAGUGCUUGUAUUCUUUCGACUUUCUAGGUGAAGAAACUGAGGCUCAGAGGUUUUCUUUUGUAUUUGCUUAUCUUCGUGCAAGUUGAACCUUCCGCCUGAAUGUCAACUUCUUGAGGGCUGGAACUGUUGCACCUUCCGCCUGAAUGUCAACUUCUUGAGGGCUGGAACUGUAUGGUUUUUGUGUUUCGAGCCCCAGCACCUAAGGUCGGAUCUAGUUGUGUUCAAUGAAUGCACUUUGCUUUGUUUGUUCGUUCAUUCGUUCGUUUGUUUGUUUCGUGAGGACCCUCAAGAGAAAUCCACCCGCUUUCCUUCCCACGGACAGCUCCAUAAGAGCUCAGUGGAUUACUGCUGAAAAAACUCUGAAAGGCAGUAAGAAAAGUUUUAUAUCCCAUGAUCAAACCUGUAACAACAAAACCCCAACUCUCCACGUAUGGAUGUCUGGGGAUUAGCCUGUUGACCCCGUCUUACACGCGUGACUUUGCACAACCUGGGGCAUCUCGCCUGUGGCAGGCUACAGACUCAGGCAGGCCAGCUUGAGUGUGAAUCAUUAGGAGACAACUUGAACGAGCUGGUUCAGCUUCCGAGGCCGGGAUGCAGCCGUCCGUCACCUGGCUCGGCGGGUCCAGGAAGGCGCAGCCUCCGGGUGCAUUCCUCCCAGAGUGUCUUAGUCAUGUUCUUGCGGUGGAAUGUUCCCACCUCAGCAGCCCAGCCCUCCGUCGGCUGCAAUGAUACCUCGGCGGCUCUUCCCCAGGACGUCCCAUCCCGAGCACGCAGCCGACACGCCAACCCAAAGCACUUUAUUUGCGUGCAAACGAGUUCAGAAACCAUCUGAUGUUUGAUAUUUGCACUGUGCAGCUCCAUUCCAGGCUCUGGGGAGAGAUGGGGGUUCGGGUCUUGCCUGUAACUCGCUGAAGGACUCUAGUUAAAGCCCUAGAGACACUUGGAUUUAAUCUUUUUAUUUGUAUAUUAGUGUCAUAGGUGUGGAACUGGAAAGAACUCUGUGUGUGUGUGUGUGUGUGUGUGUGUGUGUGUGAAGUGUACGCAACUCCCUCUGUUUACAGAAGAGGAGCAAAGGUGCAGAGAAGGUAAAUUACUUAACCAGGGUCACACCGGUAACGAGUAGACAACUGGUAUUUAAAUCCAAAGAUGAGUUGCACUAAAUAGCC